GGCCUCGUAGCUCAGCUGGUAGAGCAUGCGCGUACAAAGCGUAGGUGGUGUCCAUGCGUGGGUUCGAAUCCCACCCGGGGCCA
rfam:Echinostoma caproni strain Egypt genome assembly, scaffold: ECPE_scaffold0013748